UCCACCGCCCUGAACGAUGAAUGCUAGGUCGUCGCCGAUGCUUGACAUUGCGGUGAUGCAGUUAACACAUUAAGCAUUCCGCCUGGGGAGUACGGUCGCAAGGAUUAAAACUCAAAGGAAUAGACGGGGACCCGCACAAGUGGUGGAGCAUGUGGUUUAAUUCGAAAAUACACGAAGAACCUUACCUAGCCUUGACAUUGAUUGAAUGGACCAGAGAUGGACCAGUGCCCUUC
rnacentral:rRNA from 1 species